UGCAUUAAAAUCUAGCUAACAAUGAGGGCGUACUUUACGAACCCAUUGUGAUAGGGCACGCAUGUGUUCACUGCGCAAACUGGCCAGUCACGCUCCGCUAGUAUACGCAAAAAAGUCUGUAUUUUGGGCAGAAAUCUCCUUCUGUUGUUGGAGUUGACUUAUUGAGAGGACAAUUGAGACGAUUGCUGACUGGUUAGUGCAUUUCGGCAAGAUGAAGACAUUCAACGCUGUGGUUCUCCUUGUGUGUUUGGGCCUAGCCUAUUCCAAGGAACUCCAUCAUAAACCCCAAUAUCUUACUCGUGGAGAACACCGGUCCCUUCGAACAGGUAUAACUCACGAAUUUACCGGUCCAAACCAUCAGGAACAGGAUGAUGACGAUCGUGACAGUGAUGCAGAGGACGCUUCAUUUAGAGUGUCGCCUCAUCACAAUCAAGAUCAACAGACUCCAGAAUUUCACGGUGACCGUGAAUUUGAUCGUAAAGUAAUACAUGUAGAUGAAGGCAAGCCCCUCGAAGUCUUGGCUCAAGUAGAUCACACGAAAGAGCAAGUUUUCGAAAGCCUCGAACGUGAAGCAUAGGAUGCUUUACUUGGAGAUCUCGAUGUGCCAGCAGUUUACUUCAAAAAGCCUCUGCACUGAUGACGUCACACUUUAGUUGCGUGUGUGCUUGCCUAUGGUGCCUAUAAGUGGACCGUGGGACACUGGCUCCGUACGAAAGUGCACAUGUAAACAAAGUGUGAUGUCAUCAGUACAGAGGCUUCUUGUUAAUCCUUUUGGUUGAGGGAUUUGAAUUAUGCAUGACUUGUGUUUAAUUUCACCUUUCUUAUCAAGGGUUAAUCUAUCAUUGUAGUAAAUCACUUUCUGGGUGGAAAACAAUGACAACUAAAUCAGUGAAUCACCGUCAAAUGGAUUUAAGUGGUACACCACAAAAAGUAGGAUUAUUUAACUGACUUUAUUUCUUUGGAAAGGUUAGAGAAAGGGCUGUAAUAGAUUGGGAUAUAUACAAUGUAUACAUUACAAACAAUCGGCUCAGCGCGUGAACUACAAAGGGUGCUGUACAAACGUGAACGGAGAGAUAGGCUGGCUUCCGGUCCCGCCAUUACAUCGUCUGGAAUCUGUCCUCAAUGAAUAUUGUCUUCGCUGAUUGCCAUACCUUAUUUCUCAACCGCUAUAUUAUUUAUCAAGGUAGAAUCGUUGUUGAACAAGAGAAGUAGACCAGCCCAUUAAAGUCAGUAUUGCAUUUUUACCACCACUUACAACAGCCUAUGGACUUUGGAAGGAGUAGCAGUUCGAGUCAAUCAGACAAUAGUCAAGCGGUUGUCAAACUAGUUCUAAUGGUCUACUUUCAACUUGUUUUGAACUGUAGGCCUACAUCCUGAGUUUAUAUCAUUAUAAACUACGAAUACAUACGGUAUUCUGAAUUAGUAAUGGUUUGUAUCAUUGUGAUUGUAGAGGUUUUUUUCGAAGUGUGCUACAUGUUUAGCUCCUCACUGGGAAAAUAUUCUCAGUGUUCUCGAAAAAUCAGUUCUCAGUCGCACAAAAUUUCGCUUGUCCACUUUGUAUUUUUUAGCUUAUAAUACAGGCAGGAUUGCGAUUUUAAUUGAUUGUGGCUUUCGAAGAUCAUUUUUUUCAGAGUCGAUUCCACGUGAUAUUCAAAAUUCUGAACGUGCCAGACUAUUCCACACCUAAUUAUAAUAUUCACAUCUAAUGAUUAUAACAUAAGAUUUCGAUUAACUUUGCCUAUGAUUGGUUUAAAUUAAAAUGAUGCUGGCACUGUAGCGUAACAACCACCA
rnacentral:lncRNA from 1 species